GUGUGGGUUGGUUGUUGAUGGAGAGUUUGAUCCUGGCUCAGGACGAACGCUGGCGGCGUGCUUAACA
rnacentral:rRNA from 1 species